CAGAUCAGCUGGAUAUGGAUGCCUGUUUUCCACAAGCAGUUGGAAUCUCAGUCUCCCCAAGUAUUCUGCCAUUCUUAGCUUUCCAACCCAUCUAAUCUCCAUAGCACCAUUCAGUGUAGGUUCAUGCCCCCAGCGCAGAUCUGUAGGGCUGGGUGAUCAGCAGUCCUAGGCCUCCACUCCCUCUCUGCUCUGUUUCUCUUCCUCCCACUGUGAGCUGGGGUGGGGGAAGGUCUUGGGUCCUGCUGCAUCACGGCUUUAUUACGUUACCCUGUUCUAUAAGGUCUGUUCUUUUUUCUAGGUGUGUGCAGUCUGGGACAGCCAUUUUUCUUGUUGCUCUUUCAGGAUUAGUUGUAUUAAUUCUAUUUUCAUAUUACAUGUGACUUUAUGAGGAGGUCUCUGUCUCACCUCUCACACCACCAUCUUUAAACCUCUCCUUUAAUAUGUUUGUUUUUGGCACACUGCUUUUUAAACCAUUAAGUGUUUAUGUUGUUUUAUUUUGAAUUUGAUGCAGUCAUUUUCCAAAAAAGAUGGAGUGGGACAGGAAUAAGAUUCAUUCUAUAAGCUUCUGACAUAAUAAAGUAGGAAGAAAGGAGCAUAAUAAACAUGAAGUCUAUCCUCUCUUCAUUAAAUUGUUCUGACCCUUAAAACAACUACUCUACAUAUUCACUUGACACCAACAUGAGGCCUUCAACUCUUCUUGGUUCCUUUUUCUAUUUUCAAUUUGUAAUGACCUUGAUCAUCUUGCUAUAUUUCAUAAGGUGACUAAUUUUUGAUGCAAUAUAUAAUUUCAUUAAAAUAUUUUUAUAACUACUUUUCUGAAUACAGGUAUUAUAUAGUCCCUCAAAAACUCCUGUAGGAUCUGUUACAAAUCAUGUCAUGCAUCUGUCUUGUACAUGAUAUAAGAUCAGUAUUCUAUAAGAUGGUUUAAGUCUUUCCUGUUUUGUGAAAGAAUACUUUACAUCAUCUUACUCUAAGCUUAGAAUAAACAUUUAAAUACUUACAAAGGUUGUCAAAUAUUUUGAUUUUCCAAUCAAUUGUGUAUGUUACUACUGAAAAUUUUAAAAGGUGUUCCACUUUACAUCCUAAGAAAUGCUAUAUGAAUACUUUGUGAGGCCCAUUUUAACUGCUUCUUAUUUAAAGUGACUUUCUUGUUUUCAUUUUUAGUAAUGAUAUGUUUGAAAGUUAUAAUAGAUAUAAUAUUAAAAACAACCUGGACCAGAUGGUUUAUAUCAUAACUGAAGACACAGAAAACUAUACAAGGAAUGCUGAUCAGAUGCUAAGGCCCUUCAUCCUCCAGGUCACUGACUGUGUGGGUCGAGAAAUGACCCUGCAGAGACCUUUCAGAUGCACCUGCUGUGGCUUCUGUUGUCUCUCCACCAGACAAGAGGUCAGAGAACAGGGUCCAAUCCAUUGUUCCUCCCAGAUCCAACUCUUCACAGCAUGGUUGUGCUCUUCCAAAACUGCACAGGAGGGGGUUUUCACAUGCUCUGCCAGUCAGAAUGAAGGGAGGUAGUGGGGAGGGAGGAAGGCAGACCGUCUCACAAAGGGCUUUUUCUUGUGGGUUCAUGUUCCCAGGGUUAGUUGAGUGGCUAAGUACAAAUUAGGGUCAUUUAGUCAGUGAUCCUACUUGUGUCUACUAAAUUAGGAAUGUACCUCUCAGCUAGAACAGUAGUCAAACACAUUUAUCUCAAUGUACCUACCAAAUCCCCAGAGAACGUAAUGCAUAAACAUAUGCUUUUAGAGUUCUUAGAAGAGACUAGAUACCUUUACUCUACCUAUCAUAACCCAUCCCUUGCUACAGAUAAAGAAGGGCUCACUUGGCAGGGGGACAGGGUUGGAAAUAGAAGGCAGAUGUUCUGAGUCAGAGUCCAGUUAUUCUCUAACUUGUGCAUCUCUAGGAAGGUUGAUUGCUACUGGGAAAAGCAAGGCAGUUUAGAGAGAGGCCAACCAUAGUUUUGUAUCCUAGAUAUGCCACCUACUUAAAUUUAUACAAUUUACUUAACCUCUUUGGGCCUCAGGGUUCUUGUGUAUAGAUUAUGUGUAAUAAUACCCCAUAAGAUUACUGUCAUAUUUAAAAGAAAUAAUUUUUUAAGUAACAGCAUUUGCUAAAUGUGACUCUAUUUUUUUACAGCUCUGUGUUUUGAUUUCCUAUAUAAUGGAAAUAGUAAUAGUAUCUCUCACAUAGGAUUUUUUGAGGAUUAAAUAGUAAAUGAAUGUUAAUUACUCAGAACAGCACCCAGCACAAAGUAAGUGCUCAAAAAUGUUACUUGUUGUUUCCAGAUACCUUACUCCUCUAUCAUUAUCAUUUUUGUAAUAACAACCUUAUAUUUGAGAUAAAUCUUCACCUCUAAUCCUUGAUCCUUUUGAAUAUACUACGAGUUUUUCUUUAUUUGCAUGACUUGUUUUUUCUUCUCAAAUCCUGUAAGAGCAGCCUUCCAAGAUUAGAGUAAGCCAUGACCUAAUAAAACUAAUUGAAAUUACAAACUUACUCAAUUUAUAGUAGUUUAUCCCAUGCUAGAGAUUUUUUUCCCACUUUCUCCAGCUUUACUUGUCCUGUGUGUAUAUUUAGUUCUAUGAAGUUUUGUUACCUGGGUAGCUUCCUAUAUCCACCACCAUAAUGCAGACACCCAACAGUUCCUUCACCACAAAAAUCCACUUUUAUAACCAUACCUGCCACAGAAUGAGAAAGAGAACUGACCCUCUCAUAGCCUGUGAUAAUCAAGCUUCCUCUGUAUCCUGAAGAAAAAGAUGACCUUAUCCCUCAAGGCUGCUCCCUGCAAAGACAACCCUGAGAAAUGGCCAAGGCAAGGAACAGUCAGGGCCUUGCAUUCUUGGAACAUGCAGUAGGAAGUUUGCAGGUGCAGGAGACCCAUGAAGGAUGAUUUCUCCCAAUAAUAAUUCUUCUUGUCCUUGAAUGAACUAAGAGUGCAUAAGGUAGUGUGCAUGUGUACACAUAUGUAUAUUGCAUCUUCACCUCUGUUGCUGCCAUCACCAUGGGCUUUGUUGCAGGACACUGGAACCUGUGCAGGGCAGUUUGCAGCAUCCAGAAUGAGAAGAAAUGAAAUAUGGUGAGAGUACAUGGGCCAUGUUCAACCUAGGGCUGUGGUUCAGAUUCCAUUUUCAUGGUAAACAAUUGCAAAAAUAAUAUUUUUAGAAUUUCCUCUUCAUGACUAACCAAUCUCAAAAUUACCUUGUUUCAGUCUACUUUUCCAUGUAAUGAAUUGAGGUUUAGCAUAUCAUUUAUAAAACAAAUACAGUCAUAUGGUGAAGCAUUUGUAAGAUACUAUAUUAGGUAUUUACAGAAACUUAAAGAUGUACAGAAUUGUACUCUAUCCCUUAGUAAGUGUUUAAAGCAAAAAAAUGUAUGAUUUAGUAUGAGGCUAAACAAGAAUUGUUGAUAUAAAUCAAUACAACUUAAUCAGUUGGCAUAUGUGUACUUUAUGAUUCCGCCAACCAGGCCAUAAGAUAAUUAUCAACCCCAUUUUUCAGAGACAAAGCUGAAAUUCAUCAGGAGUAGAUCAUAAGGAGAUGGGGUAUUGAGGAAUUUUUUCCCACUGAUGCAUUUGUAAUGAAAGGCAUUGUAUGGAAAGUGAGAAAUCUCCUGGAGGAGGGGAUUCAGAACAGGUGGGCUUUAGCUGAUACAAGUGCUUGUAGAGCUGAGAAGUUCCCUCAGAAACCUGGUGAGGUAGUCCACUGUCCUAACCCUGUUUUCCCAGUUCCCGGAGUAGGCUGGUGGUCAGUGUCCAGUGUGUGUGUGGCAGGGGGAGGGCGAGGGGCUGGGUCCAUGAUGCACCCACUCUUGAGGCGAAAGCUGUAUUCAAUUUCAUCAACCAUGUGUGUAUAUUUAUAAGUAUAGUUUUUAAAAACAGAAACACAAAAUAAAUAAGUUCUAAAUGCACAUCCUGUAAUUAGAUAACUAUUGGUUGCCAGUUAAGUUUUCCUACAGUUUUUAGUUCUGCUGCUUCUCAACAAAGGAACCAGUCAUGUGAAAUCAUAUAAUUUUGUUAUAUAUAAUUACUAGGUUUAUCUCAGGAUUUAAUUCUAGGCCGGAUGGAUAUGCAUCUGGGGGAAUUUGGAGAAAAAAACAUCCUAAUCAUGAAAUGGGUGGAAUGAUCUGACCAGUUGCCUGUAAUAACAGUGAUGAUAAUGGUGAUGCUAAUGAUGAGACCAUAUGUAAUGUUUCAGUCACAUGGAAUUCAUGAUCCUCUGAAAAUGCUUGUUUCGCAUCACUGUUUCAUUAGGCUUCCAGCUGAUUAGAUCAGGACUAACCACAUUGUGGAGAGCAAUUUGCUUUACUCAGCUGACCAAUUCAUCUGUUAACCUCAUCCAGAAACACCAGAAUGUUUAACCAAAUAUCUGAGCACUCAUAACCUAGUCAAGCUGACACAUAAAAUUGACCAUCGCAAGUCCACUCCUCAUCAAUUUGGCACCCAUGUACAUCUCCUUAAGCCAUACUUAAUCUAUAAAUAAAGACAAUAACAAGAUCAUAAUUCCAUCUAACAUGAUACAACUAUACUGCCUACAAUCAAAAACACACUACAGCUUCCCUAGAAGAGGGCAAAGAGAGUUCUUGGAUGUUCUUUAUGCUACAAACCUCAAAGUAAAAGUCUGCUAAAAAAUAAACAAGCAAGUAUUUUCUUACCUCUAUUUGUGUGUGUGUGUAUGAUUACUUUUAAUGAGGUGUUACCAUUACGAAGUACUUUGAGAGCGAUGUAGUAUUGAAUUUUUAAAAGUAUAUGUAUAUAAAGAAAGAGAAGGCGAAAACAAUAGUGAACUUAUAUUUUGUACUGAGUUUUUCUAAGUUGUGCAUAAAUUAAAACACAGGACAACACGUACAAGACCCUUUUGUUCUUCCCUCUGUUAUAAAAUCUAUAUUCAUAUCCAGGGACUGACUCUAGUUUCACCAUACAUGCUCUUUUCUGAGCAACAUUUAACACACUCUUUAAGAAUGUCAGAAGGAAAUGGCAUUUGAAGGGUGAACAACUGGGAGCCUCAUAUAGUAGAAACAGAUUUGAACUGAUGAUUUAUUACAUUUUCUUACUGAAAAUGCGGAUGUGUAUUGUUUAAGCAACUACUUCCUCAAAAGAAUUGACUCUUAUCACUCUGUUAAUGUAAUAGUUUUCCAGAGCUUCCCAUUUGGUCAAAUUGGGGCAUAAAAUCUUCUGGAAUUCUGCCAAAUGUUCAGGCGGAGAGCCCAGUGUUUCUGAUCAGGCAGGAUACCAGGCUGCGGACACCGCGCGAGGCCACAGGGUCUUCAGCCUAAAGCAGCAGAUCUGGGGAGCCAGUUUAACUAAAGGGUGUGUCCAUUUUGUUUCCGUCUUAGUUUCUGGCACUGUCCUGUUUCAUUGUGCAGGUCAUAAGCAUGUGAAGUCCGGAACUGACCUAAUUUUUUCAACUGAAGAGAUAAGUGCCAAGUUUACAUCCAUGCCCCUAAGCUUUAUGGGCGUUGAUAUUUUGAGAAUUACUAGCCACGCCACUCUUCUGAUGGUGGCUCGAUUUCAUCCAUCCUUUGGGAACUAGAAGUAAGUGGCAGAAGUAAGCUGCCAAGUUGUAAUGAGCCUAGGAAGAGGUCCAGGUGGCAAGGAAGUGCAGACAACCUUCAACGGACAGCCACAAUAAAACAGACACUUCAGUCACACAGCAGCAAGGAAAUGAAUUAUGUCAGCAACCUGAAGACCUUGGGAACUAAUUCAUCUGUAAUCAAGCCUCCAGGGGAUAAUGUAGCCUGGCUAACACCUUAACUGCAGUCUUGUGGAACCCUGGGCAGAGGGCACAGUUUAGCUGGGAGUCAAUGACUGUGACUCACAGAAAGUGUGAGAUAAUAAUAAAUGUAUAUUGUUUUAAGCUGCUGCAAUUGUGGUAAUUAGUUACACAGCAACAUAACAGUACUAUAGCCAGCAAACUCAAAUCACAAUCAUUUGAGCUUGCUUUCUAUUUUCUGUAUUUUUGUCUCAUAAACAGUUGCAAUUUAACUUGUGAAUUAUUUUUAGUUAAAUAAAAAGAUUUUAUUCUUCUGG